UAAAUUACUAAUUUUUUCAAUUUUAUUUUCUUAUCACAAAGCUAGUUCAUCUUUGUGUACCUAUGUUUAAAUUUAUAUUUUUUUAUAGUUAUUGUGCUGUUUAACUUUCUUAUAAAAGAGAGUGAGAAAUUAAAAAGGUGGCCACCGAACAGAAAGUUAAACUGCAAUAUACUAUAAUCUUUUUAGUUCAUGUUUACAUUUUUAACUGAUAAAUUAUAAAUAUAAAAUUUCAAAUUAAUUUAAAUUCAAAAAUAAAAGAACACCAACAUAGAUUUCUUAAACAUUAAAAUUUUACUAUAAAUUUAAACUACAUUUAAUCAGCACAUUAGUUGAAGUUUUAUAGGAACCGAACAUUUGGCUGGAUCAUGGACUACCCACCGACGGAGAAUUUGUCAUUGAGCUGAAGGAAGAUGUGUCAGCACUCGGCUUCGUUUCAACCCGGAGGAAGAUUGGCAGCAUCAAUAUAAGAAGCUCAUCUUAAUGUCAACUGUCCAAAGGAUUUGUUUUGAAGAAGAAUUCGUCACAAAGCUGAUGGAAAAUGUGUCGGCACUCGGCUUCGUUUCAACCCGGAGGAAGAUUGGCAUCAUCAAUAUAAGAAGCUCAUCUUAAUGUCAACUGUCCAAAGGAUUUGUUUUGAAGAAGAAUUCGUCACAAAGCUGAUGGAAAAUGUGUCGACACUCGGCUUCGUUUCAACCCGGAGGAAGAUUGGCAGCAUCAAUAAGAAGCUCAUCUUAGUUAAGUUGUCCCCCCCUUUACGCAUUAGCGCUCAUCUCUCAUCCACUCAUCCAACACAUUCACUAUCGCCGGCCGGCAACACACAUAUAUUAUACACAUUAACCGUUUUAUAUUAUAUAAUAGUAUUAUUAAUAUCCACAUAAUUUAAGUUAUUGUAUAUUUUUUUUUUAUUAUUUGAAUGCAUUCAUAUGAUCAGUGGCGUAUUUAGGAAUUUUAGGAUAAGGGCAACACAUAUUUUACCGCCUUCCCCCCUCAUUAAAAAAAAAUUAAAAAACUACGCCGCGCAAUAGUGGUCAAACUGUUAAUACCAUAGAAUACCAUGUUAUAUAAAUACUGUAUAGUAUUUUAUACCUCUAUGGCAAUGUCACACAUUUGUUGUGAAAAAUAUUAAUAAUUGACGUCAGUGUGCCAGUACUCAUAAAGUACGAAACAAAAAUUUGCUGCCCCUCUAAAUCUUUAAAAAUUUGCCGUUCUGGACAACUGGACCCAAAGCCCCUACCUAAAUACGCCCCUGCAUAUACUGCGUUCUCGCUUACAAUGUGGAUUAGGCCUACUGGGGACACCACAAUAAA